rnacentral:rRNA from 1 species
AGGCCUAACACAUGCAAGUCGAACGGCUCUUCGGAGCAGUGGCGGACGGGUGAGUAACGCGUGGGAACGUGUCCUUUGGUUCGGAACAACACAGGGAAACUUGUGCUAAUACCGGAUGAGCCCUUCGGGGGAAAGAUUUAUCGCCAUUGGAGCGGCCCGCGUUGGAUUAGGUAGUUGGUGGGGUAAAGGCCCACCAAGCCGACGAUCCAUAGCUGGUCUGAGAGGAUGAUCAGCCACACUGGGACUGAGACACGGCCCAGACUCCUACGGGAGGCAGCAGUGGGGAAUCUUGCGCAAUGGGCGAAAGCCUGACGCAGCCAUGCCGCGUGAAUGAUGAAGGUCUUAGGAUUGUAAAAUUCUUUCACCGGGGAAGAUAAUGACGGUACCCGGAGAAGAAGCCCCGGCUAACUUCGUGCCAGCAGCCGCGGUAAUACGAAGGGGGCUAGCGUUGCUCGGAAUUACUGGGCGUAAAGGGCGCGUAGGCGGACAGUUUAGUCAGAGGUAAAAGCCCAGGGCUCAACCUUGGAACUGCCUUUGAUACUGGCUGUCUUGAGUUCGGGAGAGGUGAGUGGAAUGCCGAGUGUAGAGGUGAAAUUCGUAGAUAUUCGGCGGAACACCAGUGGCGAAGGCGACUCACUGGCCCGAUACUGACGCUGAGGCGCGAAAGCGUGGGGAGCAAACAGG